GGAGGGGCUCCAUGGUCACCAGAAGAGGACGAGACUGCUAGCUAUGACAGUCACCUUGGGGCAACUGAGGGUUUGCGGACACGAGGACGCACACAAGGAGGAAAGGCAGGAGCAAUCAGGAAACGUGAGAUGGAAACACUUGGGGGGUUCUUUGAAUCAGUUCCUGAAGUGUUGGCUCCAGUGUGUCUAAGUCCUAUCCAGACAGAAUGGGGAAGAGUCCGUUCUCACUGUUGGACCUUCUCCAGCCAGUGUGAGGCAGUCACAUGUCCUUCGCCGCCAUAAAUGCUGCUGUGAAGAAAAACCUUCAACACGGACCACUGGUUACCCUGAACACAUGUCCAGGUGCUUCUCAAAAAGUGAUAGGAGCUCACUUCAUCAGAUUUGGCUUCUCAGGGGCAGAUUCCUGUUCUCUGUCCUCUCCAUCAGGGUCUCUGAAGGGAACGUGGGAUCCAUAAGAGUACUGAUGUCCAAGCUCAGUAGCCAUUGAAGCCAACUACUUUAUGUCA